rnacentral:rRNA from 1 species
UACGAAGGGGGCUAGCGUUGCUCGGAAUUACUGGGCGUAAAGGGCGCGUAGGCGGACAUUUAAGUCAGAGGUGAAAGCCCAGGGCUCAACCUUGGAAUUGCCUUUGAUACUGGAUGUCUUGAGUUCGGGAGAGGUGAGUGGAAUGCCGAGUGUAGAGGUGAAAUUCGUAGAUAUUCGGCGGAACACCAGUGGCGAAGGCGACUCACUGGCCCGAUACUGACGCUGAGGCGCGAAAGCUAGGGGAGCAAACGGG